rnacentral:rRNA from 1 species
GACGAACGCUGGCGGCGUGCUUAACACAUGCAAGUCGAACGGAAAGGCCCUGCUUUUGUGGGGUGCUCGAGUGGCGAACGGGUGAGUAACACGUGAGUAACCUGCCCUUGACUUUGGGAUAACUUCAGGAAACUGGGGCUAAUACCGGAUAGGAGCUCCUGCUGCAUGGUGGGGGUUGGAAAGUUUCGGCGGUUGGGGAUGGACUCGCGGCUUAUCAGCUUGUUGGUGGGGUAGUGGCUUACCAAGGCUUUGACGGGUAGCCGGCCUGAGAGGGUGACCGGCCACAUUGGGACUGAGGUACGGCCCAGACUCCUACGGGAGGCAGCAGUGGGGAAUAUUGCACAAUGGGCGGAAGCCUGAUGCAGAAACGCCGCGUGCGGGAUAACGGCCUUCGGGUUGUAAACCGCUUUCGCCUGUGACGAAGCGUGAGUGACGGUAAUGGGUAAAGAAGCACCGGCUAACUACGUG